rnacentral:tRNA from 1 species
CGGGACGUGGCGCAGUUUGGUAGCGCGCAGCGUUCGGGACGCUGAGGUCGCGGGUUCAAAUCCCGCCGUCCCGACCC